rnacentral:rRNA from 1 species
CACGUAGGGCGCAAGCGUUGUCCGGAAUUAUUGGGCGUAAAGAGCUCGUAGGCGGUCUGUUGCGUCCGCUGUGAAAACUCGGGGCUUAACCCCGAGCCUGCAGUGGAUACGGGCAGACUAGAGGUAGGUAGGGGAGAAUGGAAUUCCCGGUGUAGCGGUGAAAUGCGCAGAUAUCGGGAGGAACACCGGUGGCGAAGGCGGCCUGCUGGGCAGUAGCUGACGCUGAGGCGCGACAGCGUGGGGAGCAAACAGG